CCAGGUGCCCCUGUGGCAAUUUCUUAAAAUAAGACAACAAAGCAAUUUGUUGCAUCGACAAACCCUUCCUUUCAUUUGAACAGGUAGGGGCCACUGUAGGGUUAUUAAUUGGCCUAAUUUCAGUAUUGUUGUGUCUCAGGGAACAGGGAGACCUGAGGAGAGGGAGAGGGACUGGGGGACGUCCAGUCAGUGGAGCAGUUAGAAGCCACACAACAUGUAUCAACUGAUUUCGUGGUCGUGUAUGGGCUUGCUUCGUGGCGCCCCACACAAUUACGUUGGGAUAUCGAAGAUCGCUGAUCACAGAUCCGUAUAACAAAUAGGAUAAUAAUGGAAAAGUCUGAAAUACUGUGAGAAUCACCAAAUGUAACACAGAGACCCGAGGGCACAAAGACUGUCGGAAAAUGGCAGUGACAGACUUGCUCGGUGCAGGGCUGAUGCAAACCUUCAGUCUGUAAAAAGUGCGACAUCUACAAAACAUCACAGAGCAAAGCCCGAGCCGAGGUAUGUCUGUAUUCUCCCUACAAUUAAUACGCUGAAUUUUUAUCACUUCAACAAGAUAGAUUUCCCCGAACACUUAAACAUUGCAUGUAAUCAAUUAUAUACCCUUCCUAAUUCUAACGAUUCAGAGUCUCAUAAAUGUUUCAACUGCCUUUAAAUAUCAACGAGUAAGGAUAACAGCAGUCACAAAAACCGGAUCUGCAUACUCAUACUAAGACUGGUUACAAAAUGCUAAUGCACGGAUCUAAAUUUGUUUUACUUUAUUAUCUGUAGUCAGCACUCCCAGCAGCAGACGGAGUAGACAUCCUGUGUGCCACCCAUCACUGCCCUCUCCUGGGCAUCUCAGAGAGCUGGCAUGCUACCCUCCCGAGGGAGGCGCCUCGCCACAUCUCUGUGCCACAAACCGUCCAUCCUGGGCACACUGACUGGACCUGGGGUGGGUCCCAGACUCUAAGUCAGGACCUCACGGGCCGGCCAGGCAUAUCUACAAGACUGGCACAAAAGUUCUGCCCAAGGAAGGUUGUGGGUGGUGGCAUCUGAGCCAAGCGAUCAGCAACGCGCCGGGGCACCCGAAUGUGGGGGCAAACACCAAAGACUCACAGAGGAGGCAGAGGGCAAAAGCCGGGCAGGAGCCCUGAGCAAGUUGGGGACCAGCUGGCCAGAAGCAGCUGCAGCAGUGGAAACAAGGUGGGACAGCAGUGUCAGAGUGGGAAUGAUGCUCUGGGAGUCGGUGAUGUGGAUACACCCGCAGGCCUGUCCUGAAGAACCUGGCUAGGGGACUGGCCCGAGUGGCCUUCUCCUCCCCCCACCCCCACCCCCGCCCCCCCCCCCACAUGUUCUUCACACAGGUGAAGGGAAUGGGCGGAAGAUCUCCUGAGCUGACGUGAUGGCAUGUGUGGAGGCCAAGCACACAGGACACAAAAGUGGAUCCAGAGAUUUGUGUGCAGAAAGUGAGGGGAAGCAGGAUGGGGUGCCGGGAGAAAACGAACCGUGAGGCCAUUCCAAGGGAGGCCUCAACGGACCCCAUGGGGAGGCAGGGGCUGGAGUCACUCCUCAGUUGUCCGGAAAUGAGGCAAGGGGACUUUGGAGAGCCUUGGGUCCUAGAUCCCCGUGUGAGGCAGCUUCCUUGUGCCAGGGGCAAUUCCUUCCUGAGCUCUCAGAUUUCAACACCUGAUCCUGAAGGGUGGCCUGUGUGGCCACCAUUAUACUAGAGGUGGCAGGCUGGUCAAUGAGCGUGAGGUUGGCCUGUGGUCUGAGAUGUGGUCUGGUCAAUGACCAGAUCUGGCCAGCCUCUGUAGAACAUUCAGUGAAAAGAACCUCUCAUGGUUUAGGGGAGAGAGCUGACAGGAUCAGAUUUUCAUUUUAGAUUGCUGUGGGAGCUCAGGAGAGAGAGCAAGACUGAUGAGAAACAUGAAGUGUGGCCAGUGCACAGAAGAUGUCUAAAGACACAGGAGUGGCUAGGACCUCACAGAGCCUGGGGAGGUAAGGGGGGGGGGGCGGAGCUUAGCGUAGAGUCUGGGGAGAGCCGCGACACUUAUAGGGCGGGGAGAUCAGGAUACUCCAAGGAGUUGGGUGUGCAAUAGUGCAAUACAUGGUCUUUCCUGGGUGGGUAAAUUGGAGAGCUAAGAGAACGAAAGCUCCAGGGAGGAAGGUGACAUCACAGACCGAAAAGCUCUCCUUUCCUCCCCCAACACAGCAGUGGCUUGGUAAACUGAGUUCAGCCGGCUGCCCCUAGAUGGCAGUGUACGCACAUAGCAGGAGCUGCCCAGCAAAACUCCCCAGGGACAGCAAGGGUCUCCCAUGGGACCAGCAGAAGCCCACCAGGGCUGUGAGAGGGACCAGGAGAGGCACCCAUGAUGCCUGCUGCAUCCACCUAUGCUCUGCUUUGCUGCAGGGGAACAGUCUUGAGUGGAAGAUUGGACAUAAAGCCAAUGGUUCUGGUUCGACCACUUACAGGCUGAAGUGACUCCCUGAGACUACUUUGCACAUUCGUUUUAUAAAUGCGUACCUUCAUGAAGACCA